rnacentral:rRNA from 1 species
AUACGGAGGAUGCAAGCGUUAUCCGGAUUUAUUGGGUUUAAAGGGUGCGUAGGCGGUUUGCUAAGCGGGAGGUGAAAUGCCGGCGCUCAACGUCGGAAGUGCCUCCCGAACUGGUGGACUUGAAUGACUCUGCCGUGGGAGGAAUGUGUAGUGUAGCGGUGAAAUGCUUAGAGAUUACACAGAACACCGAUUGCGAAGGCAUCUCACGAAGGGUUGAUUGACGCUGAGGCACGAAAGCGUGGAGAUCAAACAGGAUUAGAUACCCUGGUAGUCCACGCAGUAAACGAUGAUGGCUAACCGCUGGGCUUAUCAGUUCAGUGGCCAAGCGAAAGCGAUAAGCCAUCCACCUGGGGAGUACGGCCGCAAGGUUGAAACUCAAAGGAAUUGACGGGG